rnacentral:rRNA from 1 species
CCUACGGGGGGCAGCAGUGAGGAAUAUUGGUCAAUGGUCGGAAGGCUGAACCAGCCAUGCCGCGUGAAGGUCAGUGCCCUAUGGGCGUUAAACUUCUUUUGUGCGGGAGCAAUAAUGGUCACGUGUGGCCAGACGAGAGUACCGUACGAAUAAGCAUCGGCUAACUCCGUGCCAGCAGCCGCGGUAAUACGGGGGAUGCAAGCGUUAUCCGGAUUUAUUGGGUUUAAAGGGUGCGUAGGCUGUGAGGUAAGUCAGCGGUGAAAUGCCCCCGCUCAACGGGGUGAAGUGCCAUUGAUACUGCCUGGCUGGAAUGCGGAUGCCGUGGGAGGAAGGUGUGGUGUAGCGGUGAAAUGCAUAGAUAUCACACAGAACACCGAUUGCGAAGGCAUCUCACGAAUCCGCGAUUGACGCUGAUGCACGAAAGCGUGGGUAUCAAACAGGAUUAGAUACCCGAGUAGUC